rnacentral:rRNA from 1 species
UAAGAGGUCCCGCCUGCCCUGUGACUAUAUGUUUAACGGCCGCGGUAUCUUAACCGUGCAAAGGUAGCGCAAUCACUUGUCUUUUAAAUAAAGACCUGUAUGAAUGGCACGACGAGGGCUUAACUGUCUCCUUUCUCAAGUUAAUGAAAUUGACCCCCCCGUGCAGAGGCGGGGAUACGAACAUAAGACGAGAAGACCCUAUGGAGCUUCAGGCACCAAGGCUGAUCAUGUAAAAAACCUGCAUAAAAGAAUAUAACUUUAUGAAACCAGCUUAACUGCCUUCGGUUGGGGCGACCGCGGGGAAGCAAAAAACCCCCAUGUGGACUGGGGCCAGGCCCCACAAACAAGAGCUCCCGCUCUAGUUAACAGAACUUCUGACCCUACCGAUCCGGUGGCCGAUCAACGAACCGAGUUACCCUAGGGAUAACAGCGCAAUCCCCUUAUAGAGCCCAUAUCGACAAGGGGGUUUACGACCUCGAUGUUGGAUCAGGAUGUCCUAAUGGUGCAGCCGCUAUUAAGGGUUCGUU